rnacentral:tRNA from 1 species
CAGCUGGUAAUGCAGUGGUCGGCACUGCUGCCUUUGGAACAGAAAGUCACAGGUUUGAAUCCCUCCUCUAGCUGA